rnacentral:lncRNA from 1 species
CUCCCAUUAUCUCCCUUUAUUGUCGAAAUUUUUAGGCAAGCAGGAGAUGUUGCUGUCUCAGAAGUAUCUGCACGUGGUGGCUUUCCUAGGAAUUGUCUGCUUUUCUUGUAUUAUUGCAUCUGAGAACCAGGAAAGGUAAGAAAGGUGCAUUACUUCUACGCAUUUGAAACAUUUAUGUUUACAAGGUAUAUAUUUAUUUUCAAUAUUAAAGAGACACUGGAUUGUUUGAAAGUUGCUCCCUUGAUUAAUGCAUAAUGACAUUUCUGAAAAAAUUAAAAGGUACAUACUCUGGAUGUCCAUCUGGAUGUCUUCCUCCAUGAUGUGUAGUUUACUUAUCAUUACAAAUAUUCUGCAAGCUAAAAAAAAAGAGAGUGUGUUUUCCACAGCUUGCAUUACAGACCUUUCUACAACAGAGUAAUGAUGCCUUCAAGUUUCCCCCAUAAUAUUGUAGUCUUGCAGGACCAUGGAUAUCCGCAGCUUAGGGCUAUCUUUCACACUCAACAUCCAUUGAGUAUUAAAUGCUUCAUAUGUAUACUUUAUACUGCUAAUAAACAAAUAUUCCAUAUCUAUGUUCUCGACAAGGGAUAGAACUGAAUGUUAUGGACUAAGUCUCAUUCUUAAGCAGAAGGUGCUUUACAGAGAUGUACUAAAGAGACCUCUAAAGUGUGGUGCAAAGUUGUAAAAGUGCAGUAAUUAUCAAUGAAUGUGCCUGCUGGUUCUACAGGCCUCCAUGGAAAUUGUCCCACUUUUGGAACGUUGCACCAUUUUUCAGAACACAAAACUUGGAUAAUCUCCCCCUGGGUGUCUCUCUCUGCAACCGUGCCUUUGUGCAGCAACUAACCACUGCUCUCGAGUGCCCAAAUCAAAUUUAAAAAAAGAUAAUUUAAAGUAUCAAUGUUUAGCAGAACACUGGCUCAAGGACUGACUGAUUUAUAUAUGUAUGCAUUAAAACAUUUUUUUCUACUAUAAAAAAUUAUGGUAAUUCACUAAACCGGUAAUGCGAGGAGAAUAUUCAAGAAUUGCAGAUCGUAAGACUAAAAAGACCAAUUGGAAAAACUCUCUAGAUCAAAUAUUGUGACCUAAAAUUUGCCUUUGGCCAUAAAUGUGCAAAUAAGUGAAUAACUCUAAUAGUGCAUGUUUUUUUAUACGAAUGUUAAUGACUACAAUUCUUUUUUGACCCAAUUUAGUGAGAGAUCAGUUGCCGAAGCUCAACUAAUGCAUGACAAAGGAAAGACAAUAGAAGAGAUAAAUAGACAAAGAUGGUUACACGGCUUACUGGGGUCUAUACAUAAUCCAGGUCGCAGAGAAGUAUCUUCAUUAAGGAACUUCCACAGAGAUGUACUUGGAAUUAAAGAAGAUCACCAGCGAAUCAAUAUUCUGAAAAACAUCAGGAAUCUGCAAUACAGAGAUGCAGUUAUAGCACACAGUAAAACGAUGUUUGAAUGAGCAUUUUGAAGUUAUCAUGUCAGUUCAGCUACCACAUAUAGAUUAAUUGUAUCAUUUAUAUGGUCUCUUAGUUAGCGGUUCUAUGUAUGCUGGGCUGUGGGUCUCUUAGUCGCUAACCAAUCAGGAACAUUUACUUUGCAUGCAUACAAUUUACAACAAACACACAACGUUUUCCAUCUUUGAAUCUGGAGAAGGGUCUUUAUUUUGCGUUCCACUUGAGGUCCAAGAGACCAGACAAAUGAAAGUUAUUCACAUGAUAAGACAAAUAGGUGCAAAAUAGCAUGCAAUGUAAUUUAGAACAGGGAACAGACUGUCACCGUAAAGAAGAGGGAGA